GGAAAGAAACCCCGAAUAUGAGGACACGUGAUGUGGUCCUGGUAGAGUUCACUCUUAUAAAGGGGUCUUUACUUAGCUAAUGCUACACAGUGCACUUUAUUCUUAGCCAUCUGUACAGUCUGCUUCCAUAUGCUGUAUAAAUAUGUUCAGUGCCAUAUCAGUCUGACAGGCACACAUCCGGAUCGACUGAGCGCUAACACUCAUUAAUCCUGUAACCUACAAAGCAAGAUAAGGACUGAAGUUAUUACAGCUGUCAUGUACAGAUGGAGCUGACUCAGUAAAGCCGGAGCAAGUGAAAGGUUAACAUUUCUGCACUAACAUACCGUCUGAUUUCUUUGAUUUUCUAAUGUGAAAAUUGUAGUGUGUUAGUUGUACUGAUCCCUCAGCCUUCCAGUGUCAUGUACCAAAGGUGCUUUUAAAGCUGACUUUAAACUGUGUGAUUUUUGGCCUUACUUUGCUGUUGCAAGCAGAAAUCACACAUUGUAAAGGAAUUUGCAUUGGUCAUAAGUUUGGUGGCUUUACAAAAGGUCUUUACAGAGCUCCAGAAUCCUACAGGGUCUUGCACUUUUCUUGACGUGAUCUUACACACGUCUUACGGCAACGUUGCACACGUCUUACGGCGAUCUUACUAUAAUAUUACAGCGAUCUUACAUCGAUCGCUGUAAGAUUAUAGAAAGAUCUAUAGAUAAUAAGAUCUUACUAUAAUAUUACAGUGAUCUUACACGUCCUACAGCGAUCUUUCUAUAAUCUUACAACGAUCUUACACGUCUUACAGCGAUCUUACUGUAAUCAUACACUGAUCUUACACUAAUCACACAUCUUACAGUGAUCUUACUAUAAUAUCACAGUGAUCUUACUGUAAUCUUGCAGUGAUCUUACACUGAUCUUACACACGUCUUACAGUGAUCUUACUGUAACUUUAAAGUGAUCUCACACAUAUUGCAGUGAUCUGACAUACAUCUACCGCACACAAUUACACAUGGUUCACAUACAGUAGUGGCAAUAACAUAAUAUACACAAAAUAUGGUAACAAAAAAAAUAUCCUCAUUAUCUCAUGCUCACUCUGAAGGAGGUUCAUGUGCACUGCACUGACUAAAAUGUUUAUAUCACAGAUCCACACAGUAAUCACAAAUCACAUAAAAGAUCUGACAUUAUCGUUUUAUUAAUAAUAAUAAUUUCUGCUACAGGACUCAUAAUAUAAUAUUAUACUGGAUUAUCGUGUAUAGUGUGAAAAGUAAUUCUGUAAGACUGCUGUAAGUUUACACAGAUUAAAAGUGGCUUCAGACAGUCAGAGUUUUAUUCAGGAGUGGAUUUGAAACACUAUACUGUAGUGUUAGUGUAUGUUCCUUAAUACUGUCAAAGUUCCUCUUUCUGCUCGAGUUUCUGUGCGGUUCUACUUUACAUCUGUAAAGUAACAUGCAAAACAGCCUCUAAUUCUAAUAAUAAUGUCAUAAUAUACUUAUUUUAAAUCUUAGUUUAAUGGCGUUGAGGUUUCUCAAUAGUUUAAGUAAUGCCACGAAUAUAAUCUGACACUUUACCUGAUUAAAAUAGAAUAAAAUGUGUGCCUUUACUAGUGAGACGUAAUAAAAAGAAAAAGAGAAAAAUGUCCUUUCUCCAGUCGAUCACAUGACAGUCAUCUGAAAGUAGUAGUAACGCUGUGGAAUGCAGUUAGCCUUCAGUUAGCUAAUUUAGCACAGUUAGCUAAUUUAGCACAGUUAGCUAAUUUAACACAGUUAGCCUUCAGUUAGCUAAUUUAACACAGUUAGCCUUCAGUUAGCUAAUUUAGCACAGUUAGCCUUCAGUUAGCUAAUUUAGCACAGUUAGCUAAUUUGGCACAGUUAGCUAAUUUAGCACAGUUAGCUAAGUUAGCUAGCACACACUGAGAAAUGUCUGUAUUAACCUGUUCAUAUUUCUCAGCGGAUAAUGUGUGCAGUAUGAACCCAUUUAUUCACAAAAGCAAGACCAUAUAAAAUAACAAGUCUGAGGUGGAGGUGGAGGUGUGUGUGUGUGUGUGUGUGUGUGUGUGUGUGUGUGUGUGUGUGUGUGUGUGUGUGUGUGUGUGUGUGUGUGUGUGUAAUGAGGAGCUAGCUUUGUUGUCAUCUAGCAGACGCCUCUGAAGGCUGUGUCCCAAACCGCACACUAGCGCACUAAACUCGCGGAACCUUUAACACUAAGGAAAUACAGAUUUGGACGCAGAAGAGAAGCGAAAGAGAGAAAAUACCACGGAGGAGACGAUCAGUGUGUUAGUGAGUUUGUGUACAUACCCUGAGGUGUGUGAGAGCUGGGAAUCAUGGAGGUGCAGGUCACUGGGAGUAAAGCAGAGAGCCUUUGGUUAAAACUAAGAAGCCCAAAUCUCUCAGCAAGUGGACACCAUGUCCCAGUGCAGACUAAAGCUGAGUGCUAAAGUUCUUCAUCCUGCAAGAACAAACGAGGUGAUGCUAUGAAGGAACAUUUCUUCACUUCUGUAUGAUAUAUACGUUGACAUGGUACAGACAUUUUCAACACACACUUCACACCCCUCACACACACUCAUCACCUUCCUGCUGUCUGGAAAAAGGUAGAGAAGCACUCGGUCCUUCAACAACCAGACUGUGGAACAAUUUGAGGGAAGCCUCAAGCCAUCAGGGACUGGACUAAUACACACACACACACACACACACACACACACACACACACACACACACACACACACACACACACACACACACACACACACACACACACACACACACACACACACACACACACACACACACACACACACACACACACGUGUUCAACUGUACAUACACUUACAAUAACAAUAAAAGCUUCCUGACACCUGACUUGGUCCCGGAUUCUGGAACAUUCUCCCCUUUCACAUGAGGUCUUCUCCAUCUUUAGCUACUUUUAAAACUUCUCUUAAAACCUAUAAUUUUUCUUUGUCUUAUGAUGCUGUUUAAUGUGACAGUGUGUAAUGAUUGUAUGUACAGAACUUUGGAUGAAACCCUGAAGUCUUAAAUUGUGCUUUAUAAAUGUAACAAAUUUAAGCAACGAUUCAAAUAAUCUGUGGGGUCUUUGCAGCUGGUCAGUUAAAUUUUGAUAGCUUGUCAUUUAAUUCUGACUUUAUUGUGUAAUAUUUCCACAAAGGCAUUUGUUCUUGCUGCAACUGAUAGAGUAAGUGAUGAAGUGUGUGAUGAAGGCUGAGUAUGAACUCGGAGCUGGUGGUGACACUUUGUGCCCUUUUGUCCUAGGCAGAAUUCGGCGAUUACAAUCCGAACACAGACAAGUAUUGCUAUACACAGACCUGUGCACCAUGAACAGCAUCGUUUUGCAAGGAACAAAGAGAUCCAUAGCACGAGUCAAGUUUCAGCAGAGUAUCAAACCCUGCAGUUAGUGUCCACUCUGGAGAACUAUGGUGUGGUGUAAGGUGAGACCUGAGGGGAAGUUUAUCUGCAAGCAUGACAUGAAGAAAAACGAUGAUGGCUUGGGGACUGAAGUCAGAGUAUCUCCAAAACUGCAGGUUGUUCCUGUUAUGCAGUUGUUUUGGAUCACUUUAGUAGGCACUAUAAAGGACAAUCGGUUAACCAGCAACUGGGUCACUGAUAUACACGGGUCGUGGAGGUUAGCUCAUCUGCUCGGCUCCCACAGACGAGCUAUUCAAGUCAAGUCAAGUCAAGAAGCUUUUAUUGUCAUUUCAACCAUAUAUAGCUGUUGCAGUACACAGUGAAAUGAGACAACGUUCCUCCAGGAUCAUGGUGCUACAUAAAACAAAGA